CACGUAGGCGGACUGGAAAGUUGGGGGUGAAAUCCCGGGGCUCAACCUCGGAACUGCCUCCAAAACUAUCAGUCUAGAGUUCGAGAGAGGUGAGUGGAAUUCCGAGUGUAGAGGUGAAAUUCGUAGAUAUUCGGAGGAACACCAGUGGCGAAGGCGGCUCACUGGCUCGAUACUGACGCUGAGGUGCGAAAGUGUGGGGAGCAAACA
rnacentral:rRNA from 1 species